AGUGAACGCUGGCGGCGUGCCUAAUACAUGCAAGUCGAACGGAGUGGCUCCCGGGUGCGUAAGGUAUAGCUAAUAUGCUCUACACUAGAGGGCAACAGUUAGUAACGGCUGCUAAUACUCUAUAGUGUAGGAUGAGGUUAUAUUGUAUCAGCUAGUUGGUGAGGUAAUGGCGCACCAAGGCUAUGACGCAUACCUGGUCUGUGAGGAUGAGCAGUCACACUCGAAUUGAGAAACGGGCGGGACUCCUUCGGGAGGCAGCAGUAGGGAAUAGUGCUCAAUGGGGGAAUCCCUGAAGGAGCAACGCCGCGUGGAGGAUUACACUUUUGGAAGCGUAAACUCCUUUUGUUAAGGAUGCGGUACCUAACGAAUAAGCACCGGCUAACUCCGUGCCAGCAGCCGCGGUAAUUC
rnacentral:rRNA from 1 species